GAACACGUGAGAAACCUGCCUUUCAUUCUGGGAUAACACCGGGAAACCGGCGCUAAUACCGGAUACUCCAUCUUGGCGGCAUCGCCGAGCUGGGAAAAAAUUUUGAUGAAAGAUGGUCUCGCGGCCUAUCAGCUAGUUGGUGAGGUAAAGGCUCACCAAGGCGACGACGGGUAGCCGGCCUGAGAGGGCGACCGGCCACACUGGGACUGAGACACGGCCCAGACUCC
rnacentral:rRNA from 1 species